rnacentral:rRNA from 1 species
GACAGAGGAUGCAAGCGUUAUCCGGAAUGAUUGGGCGUAAAGCGUCUGUAGGUGGCUUUUAAGUCCGCCGUCAAAUCCCAGGGCGUCCACCCUGGACAGGCGGUGGAAACUACCAACUGGAGUACGGUAGGGCAGAGGGAAUUCCGGUGGAGCGGUGAAAGUGCGUAGAGAUCGGAAAGAACACCAACGGCGAAAGCACUCUGCUGGGCCGACACUGACACUGAGAGACGAAAGCUAGGGGAGCGAAUGGG